GAGUUUGAUCCUGGCUCAGAUUGAACGCUGGCGGCAUGCCUUACACAUGCAAGUCGAACGGCAGCACGGGAGCUUGCUCCUGGUGGCGAGUGGCGAACGGGUGAGUAAUGCAUCGGAACGUAUCCUGGAGUGGGGGAUAACGUAGCGAAAGUUACGCUAAUACCGCAUAUUCUGUGAGCAGGAAAGCGGGGGACCUUCGGGCCUCGCGCUCUUGGAGCGGCCGAUGUCGGAUUAGCUAGUUGGUGAGGUAAAGGCUCACCAAGGCGACGAUCCGUAGCAGGUCUGAGAGGAUGAUCUGCCACACUGGAACUGAGACACGGUCCAGACUCCUACGGGAGGCAGCAGU
rnacentral:rRNA from 1 species